GUAGUCUCGCACAGAUGCAUAUCAAUAAGCGGAGGAAAAGAAACUAACAAGGAUUCCCUUAGUAACGGCGAGUGAAGCGGGAAGAGCUCAAAUUUGAAAUCUUCAAGGUUUUACCUUGACGAAUUGUAGUUUAAAGAAGUGUUUUCUGUUGAAGUUUUGGUAAAAGUUCUUUGGAAUAGGACAUCAUAGAGGGUGAGAAUCCCGUAUUUGACCAUUAUUUUCAGCUGUGUGAUACACUUUCAAAGAGUCGGAUUGUUUGGGAAUGCAGUCCAAAAUGGGUGGUAAAUUUCAUCUAAAGCUAAAUAUUGGCGAGAGACCGAUAGCGAACAAGUACCGUGAGGGAAAGAUGAAAAGAACUUUGAAAAGAGAGUUAAACAGUACGUGAAAUUGUCAAAAGGGAAGCGUUUGACACCAGUGUUGUUUUCUCGAAAAUCAAUUAAAAAUGAGCUCGAUUUUGUAUGUGUAUUGAGACCUUAAAAGCUGCACUUUACAAUUUUUCGUGUCUUUUUUAAUGCACUUUUCGUUUAACAAGUCAACAUCAGUUUCUUUUGUUGUAAAAGGUCAUUGGAAGGUGGCUUUCUUUUCGGAGAAAGUGUUUAUAGCCUUUGCCUCUGCAAUCGGAGAGACUGAGGUCUGCAGCGUAGACUCUUCGGGGUUAGAUACAUUUGUGCUAAGUUAUAGCUUUUUAUAGACAACUUGUUGACUAUGAUUAGUCUUGUAGCUUACUCGCUUAUGCUAUUUUACCUACGCUUAGGAUGUUGAAGAUGUAGCACAUCAU
rnacentral:rRNA from 1 species